rnacentral:tRNA from 1 species
GAUGUAGCUCAGUGGUGGAGGGCUUGCCUUGCAUGUGCAAGGCCCUGGGUUUGAACCCCAGCAAUGCA